rnacentral:rRNA from 1 species
AUGCAUCCAAGAAGCGCGGCCACGGUGCGGCUCUGCCUUGUAUGCCUCGCUCUCCUGCUGCUGACCCGAGAUGUCCACUCCAGAAAUUUCGUAGGGGCCGUGGUGCAGCAGGAGAAGCACAAGCAGAGCCAUGGCGGCCACGGCGCAGCCACCCUGGAACCGCCCGUUGAGGAAGGGAGCAACGCAGGUGCCAAGAGGGGACAGCUGCAGCGUGAUCCCACGAAAUGGGAGGAGAUCCACACGGAUUACAUCUACACCCAAGACGUCAAACACCCGUGA